rnacentral:rRNA from 1 species
GGGGGGGCCAGGUCCAGCGGAUAAAGGGGAGCUUGCUCCUUGAUUCUUUCCGGGGACGGGUGAGUAAUGCCUAGGAAUCUGCCUGGUAGUAGGGGGACAACGUUUCGAAAGGAACGCUAAUACCGCAUACGUCCUACGGGAGAAAGCAGGGGACCUUCGGGCCUUGCGCUAUCAGAUGAGCCUAGGUCGGAUUAGCUAGUUGGUGAGGUAAUGGCUCACCAAGGCGACGAUCCGUAACUGGUCUGAGAGGAUGAUCAGUCACACUGGAACUGAGACACGGUCCAGACUCCUACGGGAGGCAGCAGUGGGGAAUAUUGGACAAUGGGCGAAAGCCUGAUCCAGCCAUGCCGCGUGUGUGAAGAAGGUCUUCGGAUUGUAAAGCACUUUAAGUUGGGAGGAAGGGCAUUA